rnacentral:rRNA from 1 species
GACGAACCGUGCGAACGUUGUUCGGAAUCACUGGGCUUAAAGGGCGCGUAGGCGGGCUGUCAAGUCUGGGGUGAAAUGCCGCGGCUCAACCGUGGAACUGCCUCAGAUACUGACGGCCUCGAGGAAGGUAGGGGCAUGCGGAACUGUAGGUGGAGCGGUGAAAUGCGUAGAUAUCUGGAGGAACACCGGUGGCGAAGGCGGCAUCCUGGACCGGUAUUGACGCUGAGGAGCGAAAGCCAGGGGAGCAAACGGG